rnacentral:rRNA from 1 species
AGCGAACGCUGGCGGCAGGCCUAACACAUGCAAGUCGAACGGAUCCUUCGGGAUUAGUGGCGGACGGGUGAGUAACACGUGGGAACGUGCCCUUUGGUUCGGAACAACUCAGGGAAACUUGAGCUAAUACCGGAUGUGCCCUUCGGGGGAAAGAUUUAUCGCCAUUGAAGCGGCCCGCGUCUGAUUAGCUAGUUGGUGAGGUAAAGGCUCACCAAGGCUACGAUCAGUAGCUGGUCUGAGAGGAUGAUCAGCCACAUUGGGACUGAGACACGGCCCAAACUCCUACGGGAGGCAGCAGUGGGGAAUCUUGCGCAAUGGGCGAAAGCCUGACGCGGCCAUGCCGCGUGAAUGAUGAAGGUCUUAGGAUUGUAAAAUUCUUUCACCGGGGACGAUAAUGACGGUACCCGGAGAAGAAGCCCCGGCUAACUACGUGCCAGCCGCCGCCGUAA